rnacentral:misc_RNA from 1 species
GAUGAAGAACGUAGCGAAAUGCGAUACGUAAUGUGAAUUGCAGAAUUCAGUGAAUCAUCGAGUCUUUGAACGCACAUUGCGCCCCCUGGUAUUCCGGGGGGCAUGCCUGUCCGAGCGUCAUUGCUGCCCUCAAGCACGGCUUGUGUGUUGGGCCUCCGUCCUCCUCCCGGGGGACGGGCCCGAAAGGCAGCGGCGGCACCGAGUCCGGUCCUCGAGCGUAUGGGGCUUCGUCACCCGCUCUUGUAGGCCCGGCCGGCGCUUGCCGACACAUCAAUCUUUUUUCCAGGUUGACCUCGGAUCAGGUAGGGAUACCCGCUGAACUUAAGCAUAUCAAUAAGCGGAGGA